AAGUUUGUGUUGAUUACAAUAUAGUUGGGAAGAUAAUGAGGUGACCAUAGAGGAAUUAUUUUGUCAAAAUCGAAGGGGGCAUAUCACAUAGACAAGUCCUGAAUAUUGUCAAAGAUCUUUUAGGGGCAAGUAUGGAUCCAAUGUGAAAUAUAGGACAAAAUAUAAGUUCCUUAUUAUUCACAUGAUAUUUUAAUAAAUACAAUAAAUUUAUAUAUGUGAAGGAUCUUUCUAUAUUCUCAAGUAACGGUUGAUACUUUUCUGGGCCUAGAAUGAGUAGCGUGCAAUAUUAAUUGACGACGCGUAUUCUCUUUUAAUAUGGAUAGAAAAUAUAAAGUUAACA
rnacentral:lncRNA from 1 species